GGUCAUCGCGCUUGGUUGAAA
rnacentral:snRNA from 1 species